CAGCUACGGUUACUCGUGCGUUCUAAAAUACGUUUGUCAUUUCAUUAGGAGUGUUGGCGCUUCACAAAGGUGCGGGAUAUUUUGUGAAAUUGGCAAAAUUAUAUCAAGAUCACAAGGUGUUGAUGUUGAUUUCUUUCAAGCAGUUCUCAAUCAGUGCCAAAGUGAUAUUGAUGAUUGUGCAUAUUUGCCAAACCAAACUUUAAUAUAGGGAAAUCGAUCGCUUAAUCAGGGUCUGUUUAGUACACAGAAAAAGAUUAAAUCAACCUUGAAAGCACAAAAGCUUUUUAUAUUUGUUCGCGCGUGAAAUUGUGUCAAGUACCAUUCUCUGUAUUUACCCUCCAUAAUUUACUUCAUUCUCUUCAGGGGAUAACUCUUAUCUCAAAAUUACAGUAAUGUUCAAACAUACCGAAUAAUGACAAUCUUUAAUCUCAACCAAGCGAGGGACUGCA